GUGCAAUAGCUAUGGCUGCACAUAUAAUAAAAUUAGAUGAUACAGAAAAGAUUAGCACAGCCCACGCACAAGAAUGACUGGCAAAUUCAUUACGAAUUCCAUAUUUUA
ensembl:snRNA U6 U6 spliceosomal RNA